GUCCACGCCGUAAACGAUGAUAACUCGCUGUUGGCGAUACACAGUCAGCGGCUUAGCGAAGCGUUAAGUUAUCCACCUGGGAGUACGCUCGCAAGAGUGAACUCAAAGGAAUUGACGGGGCCCGCACAAGCGGAGGAACAUGUGGUUUAAUUCGAUGAUACGCGAGGAACCUUACCUGGGCUUAAAUGUGGAGUGACUGCCGAAGAAUUUGGUUUCCGCAAGGACACUCUACAAGGUGCUGCAUGGUUGUCGU
rnacentral:rRNA from 1 species